AUUGAACGCUGGCGGCAUGCCUUACACAUGCAAGUCGAACGGUAACAGGUCUUCGGAUGCUGACGAGUGGCGAACGGGUGAGUAAUACAUCGGAACGUGCCUAGUAGUGGGGGAUAACUACUCGAAAGAGUGGCUAAUACCGCAUGAGAUUUACGGAUGAAAGCAGGGGAUCGCAAGACCUUGUGCUACUAGAGCGGCCGAUGGCAGAUUAGUGAGUUGGUGGGAUAAAAGCUUACCAAGCCGACGAUCUGUAGCUGGUCUGAGAGGACGAUCAGCCACACUGGGACUGAGACACGGCCCAGACUCCUACGGGAGGCAGCAGUGGGGAAUUUUGGACAAUGUGCGCAAGCCUGAUCCAGCAAUGCCGCGUGCAGGAUGAAGGCCUUCGGGUUGUAAACUGCUUUUGUACGGAACGAAAAGCCCUGGGUUAAUACCCUGGGGUCAUGACGGUACCGUAAGAAUAAGCACCGGCUAACUACGUGCCAGCAGCCGCCGUAAGAC
rnacentral:rRNA from 1 species